rnacentral:rRNA from 1 species
CAGUAGCCACGGUAAUACGAAGGUCCCAAGCGUUGUUCGGAAUCACUGGGCGUAAAGGGAGCGUAGGCGGCGUGGUAAGUCAGAUGUGAAAUCCCGGGGCUCAACCCCGGAACUGCAUCCGAUACUGCCAUGCUUGAGGGUUGGAGAGGUAGCUGGAAUUCUUGGUGUAGCAGUGAAAUGCGUGGAUAUCAAGAGGAACACUCGUGGCGAAGGCGAGCUACUGGACAACAUCUGACGCUGAGGCUCGAAGGCCAGGGUAGCGAAAGGGAUUAGAUACCCCUGUAGUACCUGUCUCUUAUAC